rnacentral:rRNA from 1 species
UUUGAUCCUGGCUCAGGAUGAACGCUCCCUGCAGGCUUAACACAUGCAAGUCGAGGGGCAUCGGGAGGGAAGCUUGCUUUCCUUGCCGGCGACCGGCGCACGGGUGAGUAACACGUAUGCAACCUGCCCUCUUCAGGGGGACAACCUUCCGAAAGGGAGGCUAAUCCCGCGUAUAUCGGUUUCGGGCAUCCGAGAUCGAGGAAAGAUUCAUCGGAAGAGGAUGGGCAUGCGGCGCAUUAGCUAGACGGCGGGGUAACGGCCCACCGUGGCGACGAUGCGUAGGGGUUCUGAGAGGAAGGUCCCCCACACUGGUACUGAGACACGGACCAGACUCCUACGGGAGGCAGCAGUGAGGAAUAUUGGUCAAUGGGAGAGAUCCUGAACCAGCCAAGCCGCGUGAGGGAAGACGGCCCUAUGGGUUGUAAACCUCUUUUGUCGGAGAACAAAACCCGGGACGAGUCCCGGACUGCGUGUAUCCGAAGAAAAAGCAUCGGCUAACUCCGUGCCAGCAGCCGCGGUAAUACGGAGGAUGCGAGCGUUAUCCGGAUUUAUUGGGUUUAAAGGGUGCGUAGGCGGUCCGUUAAGUCAGCGGUAAAAUUGCGGGGCUCAACCCCGUCGAGCCGUUGAAACUGGCAGACUUGAGUUGGCGAGAAGUACGCGGAAUGCGCGGUGUAGCGGUGAAAUGCAUAGAUAUCGCGCAGAACUCCGAUUGCGAAGGCAGCGUACCGGCGCCAGACUGACGCUGAGGCACGAAAGCGUGGGGAUCGAACAGGAUUAGAUACCCUGGUAGUCCACGCAGUAAACGAUGAAUGCUGGUUGUCCGGGCAGAAUGAUGCCUGGGUGGUACAGCGAAAGCGUUAAGUAUUCCACCUGGGGAGUACGCCGGCAACGGUGAAACUCAAAGGAAUUGACGGGGGCCCGCACAAGCGGAGGAACAUGUGGUUUAAUUCGAUGAUACGCGAGGAACCUUACCCGGGCUCAAACGACGGAUGGAUGUUUCUGAAAGGAGGCAGUCCUACGGGACAUCCGUCGAGGUGCUGCAUGGUUGUCGUCAGCUCGUGCCGUGAGGUGUCGGCUUAAGUGCCAUAACGAGCGCAACCCCCAUCGCCAGUUACCAGCAAGUAAAGUUGGGGACUCUGGCGAGACUGCCGGCGCAAGCUGUGAGGAAGGCGGGGAUGACGUCAAAUCAGCACGGCCCUUACGUCCGGGGCGACACACGUGUUACAAUGGCAGGUACAGAGAGAAGCGAUGCGGCGACGCAGAGCGGAACUUCAAAGCCUGUCUCAGUUCGGAUUGGAGUCUGCAACCCGAAAACAUGAAGCUGGAUUCGCUAGUAAUCGCGCAUCAGCCACGGCGCGGUGAAUACGUUCCCGGGCCUUGCAC